rnacentral:ncRNA from 1 species
CCCGCUGAGUUUAAGCAUAUAAAUAAGCGGAGGAGAAGAAAUUUACUAGGAUUCCCCUAAUAACCGAAUUGUAGUCUGGAUUAGAGUCCUCAGCGACGGACCGAGCCCAACUCCCAUGGGAAGGGGCACCUGGGAGGGUGAGAGCCCCAUUCGGCAUAGACCCGGUCGCCCCAUGAGGCGCCGUCAACGAGAUUGGUUGUUUGGGAAUGCAGCCCAAAUCGGGCGGUAAACUCCGUCCAAGGCUAAAUACAGCGAGAGAUCGAUAGCAAACAAGCACCACGAGGGAAAGAUGAAAAUGACAUUGAAAAGAGAGUCAAAAGGUGCUUGAAAUCGCCGGGAGAGAAGCAGAUGAGGGCCGACGAUGCGCCCUGGCCGUAUGCAGAACGGCUUCGGCUGGGCUACGAAUUGGCUCCGGGGGGGGGCUGUUUUUUGGCCUCCGGUAGCCAUCGUCGGCGCAGCCGGUCACCGCGCCCCUCGGGGCACUGCGUUGCAACGGCCUGCAGGCUCCCCAUCCAACCUGUCUUGAAACACGG